GAAGGUUUUUUAUUCACUAGAUAAACAAUAUUCCCUUUUUGUUUCUAUUCUAUUAACACCAAUGAAAAAUCUCAAAAUUCAGCAUUACUGUAGAUGUACAUACAGCAAGAAAAUUAUUCCAUGCCUUGCGCAGGACCUUAUAAAGGGAAAUACUGUGUCUAUCAAGCUUAUCUGUUCAUCUGGAUUCCCAGGACCAAAAGACCAACAGCCUGCACAGAGACAUCCUGCUACAGAUCAGUGACUGUACUCUGCAGUCAGGUUAAUGAAGAAUGAGCUGGCUGAAAGAUGAACAUGAUUAUGUGUAAGACAACAGAUCUUAUGGAAGCAGAAGACUGUAUGGGGGACCUACAUGGUGACCAACAGCAGACUAGCAGCAGAACACUGAACAAAAGGAAAACCAGACUUGUCUGUUACAUAUGUUUUCUCACAAGAAAGAGCACACACGGGGAUUCAGUCCCCAUGUGGCUUCAGGAGAAGGCAGAGGAGUUACAAAGAAGGGAUUAACUGGCAAUACAUUUGCAAUUAAGUGCUCUGCCAUCCUUGCUCUCUUUUCAGCAGCUUUACAUUUCCUUCUGUUGACGUUAUACCCCCAAGAUACCCAAAGCAGGUGGGGUGGUCGGGAACGAAGAGUCUCAUAAGCAAAUGCUAAAGAGCUCCUAAUUCAAGAUGGACACUAAAACUGCUGAAAAUUUUGUAACAAAUUGUCAACUUUUUGUCCCCCUUCCAAAAGCUCCCAGAGACUCUUGCUCUUGGUGUUGGGAUCUCCUUUCUAACACAGAUAUUGUUUAAAUAUUCAAUGUUAUUUUACUUUAGUUCUCAAAUGAGUCUUUAUUUCAUCCAGAUGUUACUGCUCAUAUCCCUGUCCUCGUUUAGAGCAACACUUUGUAGAAUACCUAAUCUUUAAGUCACUUUUACUUUAAUUCACCACUAUAUUUUUAAACGACUGUGUUUGACAUAAACCACUAGCUGGUUUCACAACUGCAGCGUCUCCACCUUUGGCAAACUCUUCACUUAUUUAUUCCCUCCUCUUUUAAUGGAGUUGCUGGAACCACUUAAAAUCCAUUAAUACACUACAAAUUUCAAGCACAAAUCAUAUUUGUGUGAACUAGUGCAGUUGGAAAUGCUGAAUAACUUCUACUUCAUACGAAAUCAAGUCCAUUGUAAAUGUGUAAUUGCGAUCCUCAAACAGCUUAAAGAUUUUCUGCAAAUACUGUGAUGACAGCAGCCUGAGAGACAGCAAUAGGUGCCAGUGUGAGCCUGCAGAGAAAUCAGAGCAUCCCUGUAAACCAGGAAUUCCCCUACCCACCCUCCAUUUUGUUCAGUGUUUCCUGAUGACCACAGAGGCCAGAAGCUCUGCUCAUGCAGGCAGCAACGUCACCUAUACGUGUUCAGAAGAUGUAGAUCCCACA
ensembl:lncRNA